rnacentral:rRNA from 1 species
AGACGUCUACAUUAGAUACCCGGUAGUCCCAGCCGUAAACUAUGCGCGUUAGGUGUAUCGGUGACCACGAGUUACCGAGGUGCCGAAGGGAACCGUGAAACGUGCCGCCUGGGAAGUACGGUCACAAGGCUGAAACUUAAAGGAAUUGGCGGGGAGCACCACAACAGGUGGAGCCUGCGGUUUAAUUGGACUCAACGCCGGGAAGCUCACCGGAUAGGACAGCAGAAUGAUUGCCGGGCUGAAGACCCUGCAUGACUAGCUG